AACGAACGCUGGCGGCAGGCCUAAUACAUGCAAGUCGAACGCCGUAGCAAUACGGAGUGGCAGACGGGUGAGUAACGCGUGGGAACCUUCCCAGUGGUACGGAAUAGCCCCGGGGGAAACCCGGAGUAAUACCGUAUAAGCCCGAAAGGGGAAAGAUUUAUCGCCAUUGGAUGGGCCCGCGUCGGAUUAGCUAGUUGGUGAGGUAACGGCUCACCAAGGCGACGAUCCGUAGCUGGUCUGAGAGGAUGAUCAGCCACACUGGGACUGAGACACGGCCCAGACUCCUACGGGAGGCAG
rnacentral:rRNA from 1 species